AAUGGGGGAAACCCUGAUCCAGCCAUGCCGCGUGUGUGAUGAAGGCCUUAGGGUUGUAAAGCACUUUCGUUGGGGAUGAUAAUGACCGUACCCAAAGAAGAAGCCACGGCUAAAUUCGUGCCAGCAGCCGCGGUAAUACGAAUGUGGCAAGCGUUGUUCGGAAUCACUGGGCGUAAAGAAUGCGUAGGCGGCUUGACAAGUCGAGAGUGAAAUCCCAGGGCUUAACCCUGGAACUGAUUUCGAAACUGUUUUGCUAGAGUCCCGGAGGGGUUGGCGGAAUUCCGAGUGUAGAGGUGAAAUUCGCAGAUAUUCGGAGGAACACCAGUGGCGUAGGCGGCCAACUGGACGGGAACUGACGCUGAGGCAUGAAAGUGUGGGGAUCAAA
rnacentral:rRNA from 1 species